rnacentral:ncRNA from 1 species
CGAAAAUAGAGUUUCAGGGUGGUGGCUUCUGCGUCCGCACCGCGGAAUCUUCUCGGCCACGG